rnacentral:rRNA from 1 species
GAUGAACGCUGGCGGCGUGCUUAACACAUGCAAGUCGAACGAAGCACUUUAUUUGAUUUCCUUCGGGACUGAUUAUUUUGUGACUGAGUGGCGGACGGGUGAGUAACGCGUGGGUAACCUGCCUUGUACAGGGGGAUAACAGUUGGAAACGGCUGCUAAUACCGCAUAAGCGCCCAGCAUCGCAUGAUGCAGUGUGAAAAACUCCGGUGGUAUAAGAUGGACCCGCGUUGGAUUAGCUAGUUGGUGAGGUAACGGCCCACCAAGGCGACGAUCCAUAGCCGACCUGAGAGGGUGACCGGCCACAUUGGGACUGAGACACGGCCCAAACUCCUACGGGAGGCAGCAGUGGGGAAUAUUGCACAAUGGGCGAAAGCCUGAUGCAGCGACGCCGCGUGAGCGAAGAAGUAUUUCGGUAUGUAAAGCUCUAUAAGCAGGGAAGAUAAUGACGGUACCUGACUAAGAAGCACCGGCUAAAUACGUG